rnacentral:lncRNA from 1 species
GUUUUCAUAUGAGAAUUGUAAGGCUUAAACUUGUACGCAACUUAAAUCCAAAUCCAUUCACUUGACACAAUACAAAACAUAUACGUCCAUAACAUCCAGCAGCGACAUAUUGAGCUCUCAACUCUCAAAUAUAAAUAAGUUCACCAAAGACAUCCCACUAAUGGAUUAUUACAUCACAAGUCUCAAGAGUUUGAACCAUAAAUAAUAUAAUUUGUUGCCUUGAUACAUAACCAAAUUCAAUCUACUCGCAUGCAUAUGAAAAAUUUUAACAACAAGGAUAUGAGCAACCACAACUUAAUAAACACCAAAACUCAUAUAUUAGCAAAGCUUCUCAUGGAUGCAUU